rnacentral:sRNA from 1 species
UCUCAUGUGUAGUAUUGAGUAUAAAAACUAGAACCGCAACUGGUUCCCAAAAGCAAAAGUAGUGUUUCCUUGUUAGAAGAUACAAAGCCAAAGACUCAUACGGACUUCGGCUACACCAUGAAAAUUUUGAGAA